rnacentral:tRNA from 1 species
GGCUGUGACUCAGUUGUAGAGCACUUGCCUAGCAUGCAUGAGGCACUGGGUUCGAUCCCCAGCACCA